GACGAACGCUGGCGGCGUGCUUAACACAUGCAAGUCGAGCGGAAAGGCCCUUCGGGGUACUCGAGCGGCGAACGGGUGAGUAACACGUGAGUAAUCUGCCCUUGGCUUUGGGAUAACUACCGGAAACGGUGGCUAAUACCGGAUACGACAACCGUCUGCAUGGGCUGGUUGUGGAAAGUUUUUUCGGCCAGGGAUGUGCUCGCGGCCUAUCAGCUUGUUGGUGGGGUAAUGGCCUACCAAGGCUUCGACGGGUAGCCGGCCUGAGAGGGUGACCGGCCACACUGGGACUGAGACACGGCCCAGACGCCUACGGGAGGCAGCAGUGGGGAAUAUUGGACAAUGGGCGGAAGCCUGAUCCAGCAACGCCGCGUGAGGGAUGACGGCCUUCGGGUUGUAAACCUCUUUCAGUACCGACGAAGCGCCGAUGAUGGUGGUGACGGUAGGUACAGAAGAAGCACCGGCCAACUACGUG
rnacentral:rRNA from 1 species